ACACAUGCAAGUCGAACGGUAACAGGGAGCUUGUCCGCUGACGAGUGGCGAACGGGUGAGUAAUGCGUCGGAACGUGCCGAGUAGUGGGGGAUAACGCAUCGAAAGGUGUGCUAAUACCGCAUACGAACUGAGGUUGAAAGUGGGGGACCUUCGGGCCUCACGCUAUUCGAGCGGCCGACGUCUGAUUAGCUAGUUGGUGAGGUAAAGGCUCACCAAGGCGACGAUCAGUAGCGGGUCUGAGAGGAUGAUCCGCCACACUGGGACUGAGACACGGCCCAGACUCCUACGGGAGGCAGCAGUGGGGAAUUUUGGACAAUGGGCGCAAGCCUGAUCCAGCCAUGCCGCGUGUCUGAAGAAGGCCUUCGGGUUGUAAAGGACUUUUGUCCGGGAGCAAAUGCCUGGUGUUAAUAGCACUGGGAGCUGAGAGUACCGGAAGAAUAAGCACCGGCUAACUACGUGCCAGCAGCCGCGGUAAUA
rnacentral:rRNA from 1 species